GAAAAAACAGACCAUGGCGAAUCAUUUUAUCUACAAAGAAAAUCUGACCAUGUUUAGGCUAGCAGAGAUCGCUUAGCUGCGUCUGAUUGCGGCCCCUUUGCGUGGUCACGCACGUCCGUGCACGUGCGUCAAAACCAUGAAGCAAUGGAGCGCCACUUGCCCCCGAGGAUCUGGGAGCUCUGGACACGGUUCAGACGGUGGAGCCGCGGAGGCAGACAGCGGUGGCAGCCGGAGGGGGAAGUUGCUGUGCACGGUCGUCCACCUAGGCGUUGGAGGACUCGCUUUGAGCGAGCCACUUCCCACGUUCAGGAAGUUGGGCCCCCCACCUCUGGCAUUGAGGUACCCCGCUUUGACCUGCCUUCUUACUUAGAUGUUCGACUUCCUCUUUACACUGAUCUCUUUCCUCCUCAUUCUCCUCCACGCUUUCCUGUUCCUUCUGCUAUUCCUUCCUCACCUCCUCCUCCCUAUUCUCCUCCACACUCUCCUGUUCCUUCUUCUGUUCCUUCCACCCCCCCUCCUCCUUAUUCUCCUGUUCCUUCUCGCUCUUUUGCUGCUCCUCAUUCUCCUCCACGCUCUCCUGUUCGUCCUUCUUCUGUUCCUUCCACACCCCCUCCUCCUUAUUCUCCUGUUCCUUCUCGCUCUUUUGCUCCUCCUCAUUCUCCUCCACGCUCUCCUGUUCGUCCUUCUUCUGUUCCUUCCACACCCCCUCCUCCUUAUUCUCCUGUUCCCUCUUGCUCUCCGGCUCCUCCUCUUUCUCCUCCAUGCUCUUUUGCUCCUUCUUCUUCUAUUCCACCUUCACCCCCUGCUCCUUCCCCUCUGGUUCCACCUAUUGUGGCUCCUUCUGAGCUGCCCUGUGUUCCCGAUGCUGGCCUUCCCCUGUCUCCUGUUAUUCAGGACUCAGGCUCCACAGUGGAAGGGACCAGUGAGGACUUAGCGGUUGGGGAAACCAACGAGGCUCCUAGCAGCGGCAGCAGCAGCAGCACACCUGGUAGAGGUAGGGAGGACAGUGAUGAGGAGGGGGCUGCUCCCAAAAGACCAUGUUUUACUGUGAGACACUGUGUCACACAGUAAACUUGGUCUUUGCCUUUGUUGGAUGGCAGCAGCCACCUCUUCAUUCACGGAUAACUGGCCUCUGUUUCUGACAGGACCAGUUUAUCCUACUGUCUUCUUUUUUCUUUUUUGAUUUCUUUCUUGGUAAUUUUAAGUAUUCAUCCAAACCCUGAGAACUAGCCUUUGCGUCUGGCUGGGCAGUUCUUGUCCCAGGUAGCGUCUGGCACUGGGACCUUUCUUUCUUUCCUGGAUGAAUACAGGUUUAAAUGCUAAUAUUUACCCUGAGAACUAGCCUUUGCGUCUGGCUGGGCAGUUCUUGUCGCAGGUUGCGUCUGGCACUGGGGCCUGCGUGUACAGUUCAGCAUGGUGGUGGGAUGGACUUUUCUUUCACCCUGGAGGCUGAGUUCUGCGCCUGGCAGGGCCGUCGACCCCCCCAUGCAAGUUGCUCUAGCAUCUGGCAGGGUAACUAUUAUUUUUAUUACCAUGUUUUCCUCUACAGCCAUAGGUCAGUUCAGUCACAGUGGCACUGGGGACACAUGUCAUCUCCCACUGAAGCUCCUCAGUGGCAAAGCAGGAUGGACUGCAGCAUCAUGUGUUAUGGAGGGGACACAUGGUUGUCUGCUGUUCCAAUCAUGCUCCACACCACAGGGAGCAGUGCCACUGAUACUGAUGUACUGACCAGUGUGUCUGUCAGUCCAGUGGACAAAGGUGAAUACAGGAUUUUGAUUGUGUGACCAUUUCAAAGAUGUCAAAGGAAGUAGUUGAGUAGAAAUAAAUGUUUGUAUUACAACCUGAUCCUACA
rnacentral:lncRNA from 1 species